rnacentral:misc_RNA from 1 species
AGCAGCCGCGGUAAUUCCAGCUCCAAUAGCGUAUAUUAAAGUUGCUGCAGUUAAAAAGCUCGUAGUUGAAUUUCGGGACCAAUAUGUUGGUCAUGCCUCGGUACGCACUGGCUUAUAGGUCUCUCCCUUCUGACGAACCAUGAUGUCAUUAAUUUGGUGUCUUGGGGAAUCAGGACUGUUACUUUGAAAAAAUUAGAGUGUUUAAAGCAGGCUCGCGCUUGAAUACAUUAGCAUGGAAUAAUGAAAUAGGACGUUUGAUUCUAUUUUGUUGGUUUCUAGGAUCGACGUAAUGAUUAAUAGGGAUAGUUGGGGGCAUUAGUAUUCAAUU